rnacentral:rRNA from 1 species
CCUACGGGUGGCAGCAGUGGGGAAUAUUGGACAAUGGGGGGAACCCUGAUCCAGCCAUGCCGCGUGUGUGAAGAAGGCCCUCGGGUUGUAAAGCACUUUCAGUGAGGAAGAACGCCUGGUGGUUAAUACCCAUCAGGAAGGACAUCACUCACAGAAGAAGCACCGGCUAACUCCGUGCCAGCAGCCGCGGUAAUACGGAGGGUGCGAGCGUUAAUCGGAAUUACUGGGCGUAAAGCGCGCGUAGGUGGCUUGAUAAGCCGGUUGUGAAAGCCCCGGGCUCAACCUGGGAACGGCAUCCGGAACUGUCAAGCUAGAGUGCAGGAGAGGAAGGUAGAAUUCCCGGUGUAGCGGUGAAAUGCGUAGAGAUCGGGAGGAAUACCAGUGGCGAAGGCGGCCUUCUGGACUGACACUGACACUGAGGUGCGAAAGCGUGGGUAGCAAACAGGAUUAGAUACCCCUGUAGUC